UGCGGUGUGGUUAAGUUGGUAAACAUUCACUCAUUAAUGAAGGGUCUGUCUGGGUUCGAGUCCCACAUCUUGCAA